rnacentral:rRNA from 1 species
GACGGAAGGUGCAAGCGUUGCUCGGAAUCACUGGGCGUAAAGGGUGCGUAGGCGGCUUGGUAAGUUGGGUGUGAAAGCCCCGGGCUCAGCCCGGGAAGGGCACUCGAAACUGCCGAGCUGGAGUGCCGGAGGGGAGAGUGGAAUUCCUGGUGUAGCGGUGAAAUGCGUAGAUAUCAGGAGGAACACCGGUGGCGAAAGCGCUCAUCUGGCCCAAUACUGACGCUGAAGCACGAAGGCCAGGGGAGCAAACGGG